GAGUGUUCCCCACUAUUGGGGUUCACAGUGAUUUACCUCAAUAGAGAUGAUGCGAUACAUUAAGCACAGCUAAGACGCCCGAAGUCCCACGGGGUCUAAGUUUCUAGCACCUGUGCGAUGCUGAAGAGACUAUAAGGCCACAUGCCCUCCUUUACUUAGAAGGAAAAGUUCACUUGCCAGAAACGAAAAAUGGAAACUAAUUUUGCUGAGACAAGAGAGCAACAAUGUCAAGAUGUACAGACAUAACAGGGGGAGUCAGAGGUGGUCAAGUUUAAGUCUGUCCUGUUUGCUAUUGGCUGGGAAGUUACGGUCAAUGGGCAGUGGGAGGGUGGGGCCCCCAUGACUCGCACCUCCCUGGUCUCCAGCACAGCUGGUGACUGGUGACGAGCACCGUCUGUGGGAAGUCUCUUUUCACAGCUCUGGUUUUACUGUUCACCUUCCCUUCAGCACAGGGGCCAACUUCAUGUGUGUAAAUAAAACGGAACGAAACAAGAGCCGAGGCCUCUAGUAUCCAUCUGUGGGCCCAUAACUCAAGUAAAAGAUGACACUCUGCUGGCUCUGCCCUCCCGGCUGGGAGCAGGAAAACGUCACAGAAACUAGCACAAAAUGAUUCAACAGAAAAGAGAGCAACAGAAAACCUGCCCUGGAACACCAAAGCAACCCAAGAACGGCUAAAAUGAACAAAAAUGGAUAAAGAAAAGAGUCCCAGAAGGCUGAAAAAUGCCAUGACCAGCAAAUCUGGCCUGGUGCCCAGCGCUGUACCACAUGGGCAUCGAGCAGGCACUUAUUAAUGCAUGAAUGAAUCUUACUUUUCUUCUCUUACCUCCUUCAGAGACAGGCCGUCAACAUGAAGUUAGAUGGUUUCAAGUCAGUUGUGCAAAUGAAAUACAUUCUAAAAGGUUCAAGCAACUGGACCUGAAAACCACUGGGCCACUUCCAGAUGUGAAGAAAUGAGGAUUCUCAAGUGACAGAAGCAAUACAACGGUUGCCAUUUUUCAAGAAGUAAAUACAUCUGGGCUAGAAUCUAAACUUACACUCAAGAUUUAACUUUAUAAAUAUUCUGGUAUAUUUAAUGUUAUGGAUGCAUGGAGGCUGGAGUUUCUACAGGACUGAAAUUAAGUGUAGGAUUGCCAGGUAAAAGAUAUGCCUCUUGUUCUUCUGAAACAUACCAUCAUAUCGCCUUUUAAAAAGUGACUUAUAGGAGUUCCUGUCGUGGCUCAGUCGUUACCGAACCUGACUAGUAUCUAUGAGUGAGCUGAUCCCUGGCUUUGCUCAACAGGUUAAGGAUCCGGUGUUGCCAUGAAGUGUGGUGUAAAUCACAGAUGUGGCUCGGAUCCCACGUAGCUGUGGUGUAGGCCAGCAGCUACAGCUCUGAUUUGACCAGAGCCUGGGAACCUCCAUAUGCUGUGGAUGUAGCCCUAAAAAGACAAAAGAGGAAAAAAAAAAAAAAAAAAAGACUAUAGGAGUUCCCUGGUUAAGGAUCCAGUGUUGUCACUGAAGUGACUCUGGUUGCUGCUGUAGCUCAGGUUCAAUCCCUGGCCAGGGAAUAUCUGCAUGCUGUGGGUAUGGCCAAAAAAACUGUAUGUAAUGUUCACUUCCACCAAUGGUAUAUGAAAACUCGUUUACCUAAACUUUUCACCAAUACUAUUGGUGUUGGUGAACCACCUUGCUUCUCUUUCCUUGAGUAAUGUGAACAGUUUUUAAGAUUUACUUAAUAUAUGUAAUUGCCAAAAAAUUGAAAUAGUACCAGAGGGUACAAGUUAAGAAGAAGUCUCCUCCCAGCUGCAGUGCUAUCAUUCUCUUGUACACCUGUCCAGAGACAGUAUCUGAUACAUCCAUCGGCACAUAUAAUGCCGCUCUUUUUAAAAUGAAUGGCAGGAUUCUGCACCGUUCUUUUAUCAUUCCAUAAAUACCUGUCUCAUUCUUUUUUAAGAGGUAUAUAACAUUCCACCCUGUGCAAAUAACAUAGCUAAUUUAACCAGUUUCCUGUUGAUGGGCAUUUGGAUUUAUUCCAGUCUUUUGCAGCCACAUUGAUGCUGAAGGUAGUACCCUUGUACCAAAGGCUUUGAGGGCUUAGUGCAAGUACACUGGUGUGUGAAAAUGCCUACCCGUGGAAUUGAUGGGCCAAGCGUAAGUGCGUUUUUACUUUUGAUAGAUAUUGCCAAACCUUCACAGAGUGUAUGUGCCCACUUAUAUUCUCACCAAUGUGUUUCCUCAUUUCCUGUUAUCAUUGCCAAUCUGAUAGGUAAAAAAAUGUAUCUCACUGAGAUUUCCAUUGUACUUUUCUUAUUAUCAAGGUAGAUAUAGUUAUUUUUAUGAUAACUAACUUAUAUCUCAUAUUCUGUCCAGUUUCUUCUUACCAAUUUUUGACAUUUCUCUUAAUCUUAAACAUAAUUAAAAAAUAAAAACACAAAUGUGAAAUACUACAACCCAGCAUUCCCUACUCUAUAGUCUGAUUCUCAAUAUCAAGUCUAGUUAAUUCCUAAAUUACGAUUUUUUUGCGGGGGAGGCGUGAGAACGGAAGUGGAACUGGGAUAAAAAGAAAGGUACAGAACCAAUGAGGACAAAAGCUCCAAACAUACAACCAACAGAGACCAGGAAUUAAAAGCCAAAGAAUAGAAAGAAAUCAUCAACCAAAAAACAAUGGAUUUCAUUAUUGAAUGUAACGAAUACAUCUGUGGGUAUUUCUAUUUAUUUCUCAAUCUCCAUAGAACAAGUGGUCAGACCACUGCUUUCAAUUCUGAAACUCCAUCCCUGAACUUGACUAGAUCUGGAUUCAAAAUGGCAUCGUGCUGGGACAUAUGUUCUAACCAGUGAAGCUAUUUCACACCAUGCAAAUGAUUUCCCUAUUUGUUGAAAAAUGGGAAAACUGCAUUUUUUCAUUGCAUUGGUCAGCUGCUUCUUCAGAAUGAUUUUCUAGGCGCAAUUAUUAUAAACAUGAUGGAACCUAAAAAGCUCUCAGAUUUGAACAUGUUUGCUAAUAUGUAAUGGUAGGAAUCUCUGGGUCAUUUUCAUCUUUCUUCUCGACUCGUUUUCCCCUAAGUCCUGCCCUUUCUUUCCUUGAAAUGUCUUUGCCCUUGGCAUUCACUGCCAAUGCUCUGGUUUUGAUCCUCAUCACUUCACAAUGGUCCAACUGUUUCCGCUUUUAAGGCGUUCUCCAACUCUGCCCUUCCACUGUCACUUUACUCAUCAUGAAACACAACCUGCGUGGAUUUCAUUUCACUCAAGAACCUAAGUGUUCAACCUACACUUGUAGAAUAAGUGAAUAAACAAAUGAACAUACAAUAGCUCUUUAAUUUCUAACCAUCAGGCUGCCCUGCCUUAGCUUUCAAGUCACUCUGAGAUCUGGCUCCACUCAGCUUUCGCAAACGUCUUCCGCUACCAGCUGUGCAACUAAUAUUCCUUCUCUCCCUUUGCCUGGGCUCAUGCUCUUUUCUCAGUCUGUGCAAAACUCUGGAUCCUUUUAGCACCAUUAUUAAGUUCUACACAUGACCAUCUGCCUUCUCUCUCACUCUCUCAGCUCUCCUGGGGGACUUCCUCUAUCACUUUGGCUUCAGGGACCACCUAUAAGCCAACAGCGCACCAACCUUCCCUCCGGCCAGAUUGCUCCUAAAUUCCACACUAGUCUCCCCUAUACCUGGUGCAUCUCACCAAUAGCUCUCCUGCUCUCUCAAAGUCAACACAGGCAAAACUGAAUUAUCUUUUUACUUUCUGAAUCAAGCAGCCACCCAAGUCAGAACCCUGGGUGUUCAUCCUUGACCCCUCCCUUUCCCUAAUUCCUCACACCCAGCUGGGGUCAAUUCAACUCAUUCCCUUUCCUGAACCAAUCACUUCUUUUUUAUCUCCACUACACUAAAUAUUCCAACCACAUUAGCUCUCACUUUGGCCAGAUUUACCAGUUGAUUGCUUGGCCCCUUGACUUCCAUUCUGGGAAACUGUUCUUUCCACCACUGCUUAAAAUUAAAAUCUAAUCAUAUUUUAAAUAAGAAUAAUUUGCAGAGGAUUUAUUUCCAACAGGACUAUGGAUAAUGGUGUGGGUGGCCUGCAUGGGAGGCACAGUAACAAGCUAGGGCUAGUAUCAGAGGAGAGGUCAUUAUCGUAGGCCUGUGGACCAAGGGGAGGGACUAGUUACUAGAGGAGAACUUAUGGAAAUAAGGUGGCCUUGAGAAGGGGAAAUGCACCUGUUCCCAGGUGAUCCUUCAAGGGCUGACGCUACAGAAUAUAGAGACCUUGACCAGCUUCCUCCCUUGACCUGCCCAUCUCCUGCUGGGACUAUCAAUCCAAUUGCUGAAUUUAGCUGGAAAGGGCAUGAAAGUCUGCUGAUUUAGCCCUACUGAUCAGCUUUUGGGGAGGAGCAGGAUGGAGGCAGUAGAGAAUGGAUUGGGGUGUAUGUGCCUUCUGAUUAGAAGACUGGUGGCCCUGCACCUCCUAUAAAAUUUACCUGUAGAGAGAACAUACAGAUCUGACUCUCACUUUCUUCUCAUAAUGUUGAACCCAUCUAGAUCCAUACCUGGUAGAUUACACCUCUUCUUCUACUGAACUUGACAUCUGGGAUGCCUCUCCUCCAUUUCCAGGUUUAAC
rnacentral:lncRNA from 1 species